rnacentral:rRNA from 1 species
AUUGAACGCUGGCGGCAGGCCUAACACAUGCAAGUCGAGCGAGCGGCGGAAGGGUGAGUAAUGUCUGGGAUACUGCCCGAUGGAGGGGGAUAACUACUGGAAACGGUAGCUAAUACCGCAUACUAUCAGAUGUGCCCAGAUGGGAUUAGCCAGUCGGUGGGGUAACGGCUUACCUAGGCGACGAUCCCUAGCUGGUCUGAGAGGUUGACCAGCCACACUGGAACUGAGACACGGUCCAGACUCCUACGGGAGGUAGCAGUGGGGAAUAUGGCACGAUGGGCGCAAGCCUGAUGCAGCCAUGCCGCGUGUGGGAAGAAGGCCUGCGGGUUGUAAAGCACUUUCAGCGGGGAGGCGUUACCCGCAGAAGAAGCACCGGCUAACUCCGUGCCAGCAGCCGCGGUAAUUC